rnacentral:rRNA from 1 species
AGAGUUUGAUCCUGGCUCAGGAUGAACGCUGGCGGCGUGCUUAACACAUGCAAGUCGAACGAAGCACUUUAUUUGAUUUCUUCGGAAUGAAGAUUUUGUGACUGAGUGGCGGACGGGUGAGUAACGCGUGGGUAACCUGCCUCAUACAGGGGGAUAACAGUUAGAAAUGACUGCUAAUACCGCAUAAGACCACGGUACCGCAUGGUACAGUGGUAAAAACUCCGGUGGUAUGAGAUGGACCCGCGUCUGAUUAGGUAGUUGGUGGGGUAACGGCCUACCAAGCCAACGAUCAGUAGCCGACCUGAGAGGGUGACCGGCCACAUUGGGACUGAGACACGGCCCAAACUCCUACGGGAGGCAGCAGUGGGGAAUAUUGCACAAUGGGGGAAACCCUGAUGCAGCGACGCCGCGUGAGCGAAGAAGUAUUUCGGUAUGUAAAGCUCUAUCAGCAGGGAAGAAAAUGACGGUACCUGACUAAGAAGCACCGGCUAAAUACGUGCCAGCAGCCGCGGUAAUACGUAUGGUGCAAGCGUUAUCCGGAUUUACUGGGUGUAAAGGGAGCGUAGACGGCUGUGUAAGUCUGAAGUGAAAGCCCGGGGCUCAACCCCGGGACUGCUUUGGAAACUAUGCAGCUAGAGUGUCGGAGAGGUAAGUGGAAUUCCCAGUGUAGCGGUGAAAUGCGUAGAUAUUGGGAGGAACACCAGUGGCGAAGGCGGCUUACUGGACGAUGACUGACGUUGAGGCUCGAAAGCGUGGGGAGCAAACAGGAUUAGAUACCCUGGUAGUCCACGCC